rnacentral:rRNA from 1 species
AUUGAACGCUGGCGGCAUGCCUUACACAUGCAAGUCGAACGGUAACAGGCCUUCGGGUGCCGACGAGUGGCGGACGGGUGAGUAAUACAUCGGAACGUGCCCGAUCGUGGGGGAUAACGAGGCGAAAGCUUUGCUAAUACCGCAUACGAUCUACGGAUGAAAGCAGGGGACCGCAAGGCCUUGCGCGGACGGAGCGGCCGAUGGCAGAUUAGGUAGUUGGUGGGAUAAAAGCUUACCAAGCCGACGAUCUGUAGCUGGUCUGAGAGGAUGAUCAGCCACACUGGGACUGAGACACGGCCCAGACUCCUACGGGAGGCAGCAGUGGGGAAUUUUGGACAAUGGGCGCAAGCCUGAUCCAGCCAUGCCGCGUGCAGGAUGAAGGCCUUCGGGUGGUAAACUGCUUUUGUACGGAACGAAAAGCCUUCUUUUAAUACAGGAGGGUCAUGACGGUACCGUAAGAAUAAGCACCGGCUAACUACGUG